GGCUGCUAAGGAAACUGGUGCCCUUCAGGCUGCCAAAAAUAAGCUGGAAAAGAAAGUUGAAGAAUUAACCUGGCGUCUGCAGCUAGAGAAGCGAAUGAGGGUAUAUUGAGAUGAUUUCUUUGGAGCAAUUCUUAACAACAUUUGUAGUUGAGGCCUUUAGAAUGGAAGAAUGUAUUUCACUAAUUUUUGUAUACAUUUCUUGUUUUGUAUUUAGUGAUAAAGGAAUCUGAAUUGGGCAUAAAUUAUGUUGUAAUAUGAUUUCUUAAGCCUAGACUAGUAGACUAAAUAUUGUAAUUACAUUUGAGUAAUUAAUAAAAAUCUAUUUAUGUUACCUUAA